UCCGAGUUGACCCCGGCAGUCUCCUACGAGUCCCCGCCAUUACGCGCUGGCAACAUAGGACAAGGGUUGCGCUCGUUGCGGGACUUAACCCAACAUCUCACGACACGAGCUGACGACAGCCAUGCAGCACCUGUCACUCAUCCAGCCGAACUGAAGGAAAUCAUCUCUGAAAUCCGCGAUGAGGAUGUCAAACGCUGGUAAGGUUCUGCGCGUUGUGGAAGCAAGCU
rnacentral:misc_RNA from 1 species